UAAAACAUAAUGACUGGGAGUAUUAAGGAAUGUUUAUUGAGUAGAGAACUGUCGGUUGGUGAAAGACAGUCGAUAAAUUCCCCAACUCGCCCACGAGUGGUAAGACUGAUAUGUAGGUCUUAACGGUUGACAUCCGUAAUCAGUUAUAAAGUGGAUUUGUAUUAGCAAAUCAACAAGAGUGGUACCACGAAGGUAAAGCCUAUCGUCUCUUAU
rnacentral:ncRNA from 1 species